rnacentral:rRNA from 1 species
CCUACGGGGGGCAGCAGUGAGGAAUAUUGGUCAAUGGGCGGGAGCCUGAACCAGCCAAGUCGCGUGAGGGAAGACGGUCCUAUGGAUUGUAAACCUCUUUAGGCGGGGAGCAAUGCCGGGCACGCGUGCCCGGAGGGAGAGUACCCGCAGAAUAAGCAUCGGCUAGCUCCGUGCCAGCAGCCGCGGUAAUACGGAGGAUGCGAGCGUUAUCCGGAUUUAUUGGGUUUAAAGGGUGCGCAGGCGGAGGCACAAGUCAGCGGUAAAAUCGCGGGGCUCAACCCCGCUCCGCCGUUGAAACUGUGUCCCUUGAGUGCGCGAAGGGUAGGCGGAAUGCGUGGUGUAGCGGUGAAAUGCAUAGAUAUCACGCAGAACUCCGAUCGCGAAGGCAGCCUACCGGCGCGCAACUGACGCUCAUGCACGAAAGCGUGGGUAUCGAACAGGAUUAGAUACCCUUGUAGUC